rnacentral:rRNA from 1 species
UAGGGAAUCUUCGGCAAUGGGGGGAACCCUGACCGAGCAACGCCGCGUGAGUGAAGAAGGUUUUCGGAUCGUAAAACUCUGUUGUUAGAGAAGAACAGCGCAUAGAGUAACUGUUAUGCGUGUGACGGUAUCUAACCAGAAAGCCACGGCUAACUACGUGCCAGCAGCCGCGGUAAUACGUAGGUGGCAAGCGUUGUCCGGAUUUAUUGGGCGUAAAGCGAGCGCAGGCGGUCAAUUAAGUCUGAUGUGAAAGCCCCCGGCUCAACCGGGGAGGGUCAUUGGAAACUGGUUGACUUGAGUGCAGAAGAGGAGAGUGGAAUUCCAUGUGUAGCGGUGAAAUGCGUAGAUAUAUGGAGGAACACCAGUGGCGAAGGCGACUCUCUGGUCUGUAACUGACGCUGAGGCUCGAAAGCGUGGGUAGCGAACAGG